ACAGCAGUCGCCGCGGUAAUACAGAGGGUGCAAGCGUUAAUCGGAAUUACUGGGCGUAAAGCGCGCGUAGGUGGUUUGUUAAGUUGGAUGUGAAAUCCCCGGGCUCAACCUGGGAACUGCAUCCAAAACUGGCAAGCUAGAGUAUGGUAGAGGGUGGUGGAAUUUCCUGUGUAGCGGUGAAAUGCGUAGAUAUAGGAAGGAACACCAGUGGCGAAGGCGACCACCUGGACUGAUACUGACACUGAGGUGCGAAAGCGUGGGGAGCAAUCAGGAUUAGAUACCCGGGUAGUCCCUGUCUCUUAUAC
rnacentral:rRNA from 1 species